CGGCAGCACAGAAGAGCUUGCUCUUUGGGUGGCGAGUGGCGGACGGGUGAGUAAUGUCUGGGAAACUGCCCGAUGGAGGGGGAUAACUACUGGAAACGGUAGCUAAUACCGCAUAACGUCGCNAGACCAAAGUGGGGGACCUUCGGGCCUCACACCAUCGGAUGUGCCCAGAUGGGAUUAGCUAGUAGGUGGGGUAAUGGCUCACCUAGGCGACGAUCCCUAGCUGGUCUGAGAGGAUGACCAGCCACACUGGAACUGAGACACGGUCCAGACUCCUACGGGAGGCAGCAGUGGGGAAUAUUGCACAAUGGGCGCAAGCCUGAUGCAGCCAUGCCGCGUGUAUGANGAAGGCCUUCGGGUUGUAAAGUACUUUCAGCGGGGAGGAAGGCGGUGAGGUUAAUAACCUUGCCGAUUGACGUUACCCGCAGAAGAAGCACCGGCUAACUCCGUGCCAGCAGCCGCGGUAAUACGGAGGGUGCAAGCGUUAAUCGGAAUUACUGGGCGUANAGCGCACGCAGGCGGUCUGUUAAGUCAGAUGUGAAAUCCCCGGGCUUANCCUGGGAACUGCAUUUGAAACUGGCAGGCUUGAGUCUCGUAGAGGGGGGUAGAAUUCC
rnacentral:rRNA from 1 species